rnacentral:rRNA from 1 species
UACGUAGGGGGCAAGCGUUGUCCGGAUUUAUUGGGCGUAAAGAGCGUGUAGGCGGCUCGGUAAGUCCGCUGUGAAAGUCCAGGGCUCAACCCUGGAAUGCCGGUGGAUACUGUCGGGCUAGAGUCCGGAAGAGGCGAGUGGAACUCCUGGUGUAGCGGUGAAAUGCGCAGAUAUCAGGAAGAACACCAAUAGCGAAGGCAGCUCGCUGGGACGGUACUGACGCUGAGACGCGAAAGCGUGGGGAGCGAACAGG